UGUGGUUACGUGAUUUGUGGUCUGUUUGUGAUCUGUGGUGCUCUUCUCUUUGUAUUUUCCUUUUGAUACUUUUGAACCACAUUCUUGUGGUUUUUAAUUAAAAUAUUUAUUUUUCCUAUAAUAUGGAAUAGUAACAUAUUAGAGAUAUAAACGUAGAUUACACCCUAGUUUAAUCGUCAUUCAUCAUUAGCAAUAAUAUCUCCAAUUUUUCAUAUUUUUGUUUUAAGCAAUUAUGUCAGAUGAAAUUGAUAUUGAAGAACAUGAUAUACUGGAUAAUCCAGUAAUUAAAAAUAUCUUUCCUGAUCUGUCUGUAUUAAAAAAAGAAAUUCUGGAUUAUGAUGAAGUUCCAGAUUUAGUCACAGACAUAACUUUAGAAACAACUUCAGUAGAUGUGAAGAAAACAAGUGAUAAUCCAAAUGUCAAUGAGUCAGAAAAAGUGACAAAUAAUCGAUUGAACAAUAUUCAAAUAAAUACAAGACAUGAUUUUAAAAUUGCUGAAGACCUCAAACAAGAACAAGAUAAUAAAUUACCAGUAAGCAAAAAAUUGAAACAGUUAGAAAAACAUACUAACAAAGUAUGUUCAGAAUCCCAUAUGAGUAAAAAUAUGCUCAGUACUGUAAAUUGUUCAAUUAAUUUUCAAAAGGAAAGUAAACCAUUACAAAAUCUUACAUAUUUUAAAUCUAACCAGUCACAUAGUAAUAAAAUUAUAUUGGGUUCCAAACCUAGUAUAAUCAAUAAGCAGAAAGAUCACUUAAAAAAUUUUGGAAAAAAUCUAACUAACGUCUGUGUAUUAGUAACUGAUUGUGCGUCUUCUUUGCACAAUAGUGAUAGAUAUUGUUCAGAUUGUUUAACAUUAUUCAGUACAUACAUUGAACUAGAAGCUCAUAAAAAAACUGACCAUCAUAAUUUUUCUAAAAUACAAAACAAAAUUAAGAAAGAAGUGACUAAAAGUGUUAAAGAUCAUAUUUGUUUAAUUUGUAAUAUUUCUUUUUCCACAAAAAAUACUUUGAAUAGACAUCAAACAGACUUUCAUAAUCUAAAAAAUAAUGUUACAAUAUCAAACUCUAGUACUGUAAUAUCACGAAAAUAUAGUAAACCUAAUAAUUACAGUUCUAGAAUACCUUUGUCGGACAUAAAGUAUGGAUGUUUUCACUGCAGUAAGUCUUUCCUUGACCAAAAAUCUCUAAUUGAACACCUUUAUAAUGUUCUUCAAAUGAAGAAUUCUAAAACACAUAGUGAGGAAAAGCUGCAGGAGAACAUUAGUAAUGAUAUGGAAAUAUUAGAAAAACAUACUGAUGAAAAUUAUAAAGAACAGGACUCUGUAAUUAAUAAUAAUAAAUGUACAAAAAUAAAAUUUGCAGUAUCUAAUAAAAAACAAGAAAUGGAUGUGAAUUUAAGACAAAAAUAUGUAAAAUAUAAAAAUAAUGAAAAAUUAAAUAAAGUCAAUAUUUCAGUGAAAGUUAACAAUCCACUAAUCAGUAGUAAAUUAGUAAGUCUGACUAUACAAGACAAAAAUGAUGAAGUUUUAGUAAAUAAUAGUGACUGUAAUAAAAAACUUGACACUUCAUCAACAGAUAUCCAUGAUUGUAAGAAACGUAAAUUACCAAUACUAGGUAAAAAGUGCAAAGUUAACUGUAAAAAACCUAAAUUAACACUACCAGAUAAAAAGUGCAAAAAAGUGAUUACUAAACAUAUACAAAAAACUUCAUUGUCUUACAAUAUGCAUCAAGUUAAAAAGGCGAGUGAAAUUACUAAUAGGACAAAACUAUUUUAUGAAUGUAAGUUUUGCUCUCAUUACUUCAAUAAAUUAAAAUAUUACAAAUUGCACCUACAGAAUAAACACAAGGUUAAAAACAUACUGAAAACGGACAAAGUAGCAUAUAGUCCUAAAUGUAAAUACUGCCCUAAGAUAUCUAAAGAAAUGAUUUUAUAUAAUGUUCAUCUGCGAAAAUAUCACAAAGAAAAAAUACAUGUAGUUAUUAAAGACAUAGAAAUAAACUCUAAAGUUGAAAAGAAAUCUGAGAGAACCCAACAAAAUUCUUCAAUUAUAUCUAAGUGUACAACGGAAGAAAAAUGUAGCAGUAGUAACAGUAACAUAUCAAUAUUAGAACUCCUGAUUUUGAAAUCUGUAUUAUACAAAUGUAGUAAAUGUGACAUACAUUUCUUAUGUUUAGAAACAGCAUUAAGUCAUGUUGAUCAUAUGGAAAUUUCGAUUAAUUGGAAAUGUACCAUUUGUUUGAAAAUAUUUAAAAAAAGUGAUGAAGCUCUUCAUAAAAAACAACACCUGCAUGUGAACACUUUUUCUGUAUAUAAUACAUCUGAUAUAGAUGUUGCUUUAAUCUUGUAUAAAUGUACAAAAUGCACUAUACAUUAUGAUGAAAAACAUUUCCGACGUCAUUAUUCGGAUUGUGAAUUAAAAUCACCAAAUGCGAGUUAUUGUAUUGUUUGCGAUAUUUUAAUAGACAAUAAUAUCAUGAAGUCUCAUGAGUAUGAUCACAAGCACAAAAAUUAUGAUCUGAAUAAUUUCACUAUUAUUGAAUGUGAUCUUUUAUGUGAGGAAGCGAAUGGUGCUUUCAAAGAAUAUGAAUCAAACAAGAAGAUAAAUAUUAAACUAUCAAAGAAAAGUCGAAUAAUGACACACAUAACCGAUAGAAUGUUACUCGUAAAAUCUUUCUGUAAUACUUGUAAAUGUUUUGUCAGUGAUGUUGGAUGGCUACGCGAAGUACACCUUCAAUCACGCUGUCAACAUCUAACAAAACGGAUAUGUAUUUACUGUGGACUUCUUUUAACUAGUAAAACUUUAGCCACUCAUAAAAAUAUGCAUAGACGAAAUCCAAAAAUAACUUUACAGGAUUUCAGAUUUUAUGAGCUUAAUAGUAGAAAAUUAAUUAAACCUCCGAUACCAGAAUAUCCUAAAUGUGAAAUUUGUGACAUACAUUUCAUGUCUAAAUUAGCCAUUAAGAAUCAUUUGUGCAGUGAAAAUGAAUUUUUGACGUGUACCGUUUGUUCUAUAAAAUUAUCAAAAUCGAUUUUUAAAUUGCAUAUGGCUUUUCAUAAUUAUUUAUUAAAUAAUAAAUCAAAAUUUUUAAAUCAUAAAUCAGCCAAAUUACCAGUCUCGGAAAGAAUUGAUUCUAAUACAAAUUUACCGAAUAUAAAUAAUAAUUUACCGCAACCAUGUAAGUUGGAAAAAUUUAUAGCUUUGUACCGUUGCAAGAGGUGUUCUACAACUUUUAUUAUGUAUGAUAAAGUGAUAGAUCAUUGUCAUCUACAUUAUAAUAAUCGAGAACACGAGAUUAAAACAGUGAGAUGCAAUGAUUGCGAAUUAAGUUUUGAAAUAGGGUGUUACGAGAGCCAUAAGAUAUUACAUGAUCGAAAAAAUACUUCUUACAAACGUCCACUUGAGUUUGAUAUUUUUUAUUUUCAAUUUGACAAUGAUAUUUGGACAAAACAUAUAUUUGGACCUCUUUCGCAAAAUCAAGUAAAAAAAAUUCUUAGACAAUCGAUAUACAGAUUUGAGCACCGACUUAUAAUGAAUAUUGUUCAAGAGGGAUCAUCUGACAUUACAUUAUAUAAAUGUAAUAAAUGCAGUUGUAUCAUAGAGCCUGAACUAAUAUUUAAACACAUUCAGAUUAAUUGUUUAGAUGUGCGAAAAUAUUGUUGUAUUUUUUGUGGCUUGAGUUUUAUUUCUCUUGUUUUUAAAAGAAAUCAUGAAAAAAUUCAUAGUCAUCCGUCUAUUAUCUUAAAAUCCUUUAGGGUAGUCUUGUUUAAUCAAACUCAACACAGAACGUAUAAUUCUACGUUUAAUGUAUCAUAUCAGUAUUAUAUUUUGUAUCAGUGCAGAAUUUGUAAUAUCACAAUACAAAAAUUUCAAAGAAGUAAUCAUAAAUGCAAUAAAAACGAAUUAAUGAGUUGUACUGAAUGUGGAUUAUUAUUUGACCAAAAUGAAUACGAAUCACAUAUAACUAAACACAAGGAUGUUGAUAGUUUCAUUUCAGAAAAUAUUAAAGUUAUACUUUUUGGAGAGGUAUCCGAAGAUGUUAAAAAAAAUUAUAGCAAAAAAUUACUAUCAUUUCGUGGUGCUGUUUAUGAUUACACUUUUUAUAAGUGUUCAAGUUGUGAUAUCUGUUUGAGAAAUAUUAAAUCUACGUUACUUCAUAUUUGUGCUCCUACUAAUUAUAAAAUCAAGUGCUCCAAAUGUGGAUUGCACUUUCAUUGUAAUUGGUACAAAGCACAUAAUCAAUCUCAUAUUGUUGAUCCAGGUUUUGAAAUAGAAAAUAUGAAUAUUAUUUCAUUUGAUGCAAAAAUUUCGGUAUCGAUUAACCCAAAAAAUAAUAACUUAAGUAAUUCGGAUUCUCCUUUAAAGCAGUUAACAUUAAAUUGCACAGAAUCGACACGAGACACCAUAGUACAUAUAGAAAAGUCAAAUCAAAUUGUAACUACUGGAAAGGAAACAGAGGAAUUUGAAGCAAGAAUAAAUGAUGUGGGAACACAUUCAUCGGUAAAAUUUUUUAAAUGUACCGAAUGUGGCCUUAAUUUUCUGGAUGAACCUAGUAUCAAAAUCCACUUUAAUCAUUGUGGACCUAAAAGUAAAUUAUCGAAACAAAAUUGUACUAAAUGCAAUUUAUUGUUUACUCCAAAUAUUCUUUUUACACAUUUGUUAACUCAUCACGGACAAAAAAAUAAUGUUUUUAAAUAUGAAAUAAUAGAGGUAACUAAGACUAUGAAAUAGGCUAUUUGACUGGUUUCUGGGAACUAUCUUAGAAUAUUUAGUGGUGUUCAUAGAGUCCCAAUAAAUAAUAGAGUCCUUCAAAAAAAUAGCAAAUAAAAAAGUACAAUUACAAAUUGGCCGCCGAAACGCAAUUUUGAGCAAUAUGGCAGCAGUGAUAUCACAUGGAAGUAAACAACAUCGAGUGUCAUACACAUGGAGAAAGACAUAGCAAACUACCUUCAGUACAAAAUGGGAUUCAGCCAGAAAUUAUUCUUGGUGGAUGGAAUUGUGCCUUCUAAAUUUCACUGUCAACAAGAUCGCAGGAAAAGAAUGUGUGAUACUAGUACUUCUCGA